CCUGGCUUUGAAUCUCAUCCUUCUGAUUUCUAGCGCUCUGACUUUGGCAAGAUCUCUAAGCACUCAGAACUUCGGUUUCUUCUCCUGUUCAAUGGAAAUCAUCCCUUUCUCACAGUAAUCCCACUACAGUUAAGUCAGAGCUCCAGUGCCGUAUAUGCUUCUAGGAUGUAGCCGGAGGUGAGAAGUAAGGGAUUCUGGUCUAUCUUUGUGUUGUCACAUCAGCCCUUCAGUCAUUCUCCUGCCAUACUUGUCUGGACUGGAGGAGAAAAAACACAACCUGUGCCCUCUACGCCAGCCACGCCAAGGACCCACCUGCAACUCAUCCGGUCUGCCGUGUUCUCUCCGGCUUUACCGCUUUGACUUUGCCAUCCUUUCCGCAUGCAAUUUCCUCCACGCCCUCCUCCCAACUUAAACCAGGUGUUAUUCAUUCUUAAGCUUACGCUCACUCAUCACUUCAUUCAAGAAGUCUUCUUUCAUGCUGCCUCCAGACCCUGUGUGUGCUCCCUGCCUAGCACAGAAGUACCAUGGCAUCGAUUCUAUUGCAUUGAAAUAGCCUGGGUACAAGUCUCCUUUCACUGCUCAUCUCAAAGCAGUUGGAAUCUCAUCUCUGUGUCGUCAGCCCCUGCCCGAAACAGAGCAAGUGCCCAGCGUAGACUGAAGUCAAUUUCCUUCUUAACUGCAGCCCCGUCUCUGAGCCUCCCUCUCCCCUCUGUUCUCUCCUAACCCCCUUGCCCUCUGCACUCGAAUCCUUGGCAGUGCUGCCUACAUUUGAGCCAUUCGUGUAUUGAUGUGACUACUGGGUGACCACAGACUUGAAUGAAUUUUAUGUUCCCUCUCCCAGCCUUCUAAUUACCAGAAAGGGAUCUCAGCGCUCAGCCAGUUCUACCUCUUAUGUAAUGCAGGACCUGCUUCCUGGAUGGUCACUUAGUCUUUGCUGAAAAUAAUCCCUAAAGCUUGGAUACCGAGUGGAUAUAAUGAAAGCAUCGAGGAAAACAUCCUGGCACAUGGGAGCUGAUUUGCUCUGUUGAUGAGGACAGGGCGAUCCAGUACCAACAGAAGCUGAGAAAGGAAGGGAUAUUUGGUUUUCUUCGGCAAACCUUCAUUUCCUUUCAGAUUACAGUCCAGGUGAAAAGGAUGUGUGACUACCUCAAUCUUUCGGGCUGUGUCCUGUGGGCUGGUUUUGGCUGGGACUCCACAGGUGAAAUGAUUGCAGCCUUCUGCUCGGGCUGCGAGGAGCCUUUGUUAUCUCCGCAGCAAGUUUUGGACUCUUAACAGUUUUUGAAGAAGAAAAAAAGAGGCAAAGACAGUGGCUCUUUGUGUGUCUCAAAGGCAGCACUGUUUCCUGGGGCUGGCACGGCCCACGGACAACGUGCUGCCCUUCAUGCGAGAUUGUUUCACUGCCCCGACACAUGGACUGCCCGGUGCCAGUCUUCAUGCAGGAGAGAAACACUGGAUGCCCCCUGCGAUGGCAGGACCACUUACAAAGCAGCAAAUGGAGACCACCUUCUGAUGCCAACUGUCAAUAAUCCAUCCUCAUCCUCUCCUCAGGUCCCGGAGAGGCUUCCUGAUACCUGGCUGAUUUAUGACGCCUGUUGCCCAGCAGUCAACCGUGGUCGUGAACUUAGAACUUUAUUUGUAACAGCCCCAAAUUGGGAAGAAUCCAGUUGUCCUUCUUCGAGUGCACGGAAAAGCAAACUCCGGAUGACCACAGCAUGGAAGACAGCUCAGUGACAAAAAGGUACAAACUUUUUUU